GUCUCAGUGGCGCAAUUGGUUAGCGCGUUCGACUGUUAAUCGAGAGGUUGAAAGUUCAAGCCUUUCCUGGGACG
rnacentral:tRNA from 2 species